rnacentral:rRNA from 1 species
UACGUAGGCAGCGAGCGUUGUUCGGAGUUACUGGGCGUAAAGGGUGUGUAGGCGGUUGUUUAAGUUUGGCGUGAAAUCUCCCGGCUCAACUGGGAGGGUGCGUCGAAUACUGAAUGACUUGGAGUGCGGGAGAGGAAAGUGGAAUUCCAGGUGUAGCGGUGAAAUGCGCAGAUAUCAGGAGGAACACCGGUGGCGAAGGCGGGUCUCUGGGCCGUAACUGACGCUGAGGAGCGAAAGCGUGGGGAGCGAACAGG